GACGAACGCUGGCGGCGUGCUUAACACAUGCAAGUCGAACGGAAAGGCCCCUUUGGGGGUACUCGAGUGGCGGACGGGGGCGUAACACGGGAGUAACCUUCCCUUUACUUCUGGAUAACUUUAGGAAACUGGGGCUAAUACCGGUUAGGAAUCCUUUCUGCAUGGGGGGGGUUGGAAAGCUUUGGGGGUUUUGGGUUGGCUCGCGGCUUAUCAGCUUGUUGGGGGGGUGGUGGCUUACCAAGGCGUUGACGGGUAGCCGGCCCGUGGGGGCGACCGGCCACCCAGGGGCUGAGGUGCGGCCCCAGCUCCUACGGGGGGGCACGGGGGGGAAUCUUGACCAAUGGGCGGGGAGCUGGUGCAGAAACCCCGCGUGUGGGAUAACAGCCUUCUGGUUGUAAAACGGUUUUAGCAGGGGAGAAGCUUGUGGUGACGGUACCUGCAGAAGAAGCACCGGCUAACUACGUG
rnacentral:rRNA from 1 species